rnacentral:rRNA from 1 species
UCGUACGCUCUCGGGAAGAGGGCGUGGCGGACGGCUGAGUAACACGUGGCUAACCUGCCCUUGGGAUCUGGAUAACCCCGGGAAACUGGGGCUAAUCCGGAGCAGGCAAGGGAAUCUGGAAUGAUCUCUUGCCUAAAGGCUUCUCGGCUGAUCCGGUCGAGAGGCGCCCAAGGAUGGGGCUGCGGCCCAUCAGGCUGUUGGGGGAGUAAAGGUCCCCCAAACCGAUAACGGGUAGGGGCCGUGGGAGCGGGAGCCCCCAGUUGGGCACUGAGACAAGGGCCCAGGCCCUACGGGGCGCACCAGGCGCGGAACGUCCCCAAUGCGGGGAACCGUGAGGGCGUUACCCCUAGUGCCCUCGCAAGAGGGCUUUUCUCCACUCCAGAAAGGUGGAGGAAUAAGCGGGGGGCAAGACUGGUGUCAGCCGCCGCGGUAAUACCAGCCCCGCGAGUGAUCGGGACGUUUAUUGGGCUUAAAGCGCCCGUAGCCGGCCUGUAAAGUCACCGUUUAAAGACCCGGGCUCAACUCGGGGAACGGCGGUGAUACUUACAGGCUAGGGGGCGGGAGAGGUCGGAGGUACUCCCGGAGUAGGGGCGAAAUCCUCAGAUCCCGGGAGGACCACCAGUGGCGAAAGCGUCCGGCUAGAACGCGCCCGACGGUGAGGGGCGAAAGCCGGGGUAGCAAAUAGGAUUAGAUACCCUAGUAGUCCCGGCUGUAAACGAUGCAGGCUAGGUGUCGCGUAGGCUUUGUGCCUGCGCGGUGCCGCAGGAAAACUGGUAAGCCCGCCGCCUGGGGAGUACGGCCGCAAGGCUGA